GCACGAUUAACUCAGGGGUAGAGUGCCACCUUCACACGGUGGAAGCCGUUGGUUCAAAUCCAACAUCGUGCA
rnacentral:tRNA from 1 species